rnacentral:rRNA from 1 species
AGCGAACGCUGGCGGCAGGCUUAACACAUGCAAGUCGAGCGGGCAUCCUUGUGGUGUCAGCGGCAGACGGGUGAGUAACGCGUGGGAACGUGCCCUUCGGUUCGGAAUAACUCAGGGAAACUUGAGCUAAUACCGGAUACGUGCGAGAGCAGAAAGGUUUAUCUGCCGAAGGAUCGGCCCGCGUCUGAUUAGCUAGUUGGUGAGGUUAUGGCUCACCAAGGCGACGAUCAGUAGCUGGUCUGAGAGGAUGAUCAGCCACACUGGGACUGAGACACGGCCCAGACUCCUACGGGAGGCAGCAGUGGGGAAUAUUGGACAAUGGGGGCAACCCUGAUCCAGCCAGGCCGCGUGAGUGAUGACGGCCUUAGGGUUGUAAAGCUCUUUUCUCCGGGACGAUAAUGACGGUACCGGAGGAAUAAGCCCCGGCUAACUUCGU